rnacentral:rRNA from 1 species
GACGAACGCUGGCGGCGUGCUUAACACAUGCAAGUCGAACGAGAGCGUAGAGAAAGCUUGCUUUUUCUACAAUCUAGUGGCAAACGGGUGAGUAACGCGUAAACAACCUGCCCUACGGAUGGGGACAACAGCUGGAAACGGCUGCUAAUACCGAAUACGUUCCGAAAGUCGCAUGACUAUCGGAAGAAAGGAUGGCCUCUAUUUAUAAGCUAUCGCCGGAGGAGGGGUUUGCGUCUGAUUAGCUAGUUGGAGGGGUAACGGCCCACCAAGGCGACGAUCAGUAGCCGGUCUGAGAGGAUGAACGGCCACAUUGGAACUGAGACACGGUCCAGACUCCUACGGGAGGCAGCAGUGGGGAAUCUUCCGCAAUGGGCGAAAGCCUGACGGAGCAACGCCGCGUGAGUGAAGACGGCCUUCGGGUUGUAAAGCUCUGUUAUACGGGACGAAUAAUCUUGUGGUUAAUACCCAUGAGAAGUGGCGGUACCGUAAGAGAAAGCCACGGCUAACUACGUG